ACGGUAUGGUGCUGCAUAAGCCUAUACUUUCAAUAUGGUUUAUGCUGUACUAUAUUGUUUU
rnacentral:precursor_RNA from 1 species